ACAUAUAAUUAUUUAUUGUUUCACCUUUUGUGAAUAUAAACAACUCCGUCUCUUUGAAUAGUCAUCUUCGUCAAAACCUCUAGUGGUACCGCUUAACAAUAUAUAUGUUGACUUACACCAAUUAAAUGUAAAAAAUCUGCACGAAAAAAUAAAAAAGAACUCUACUAAAUCUCAAGACAAGACAUAUUUAACAGAGUUCUCGGAAUCCAAAUUAAAGCACAGGUCAAAACGAUUUAUAACAGUCACCAAAAUCCAUAAAAAAAAGCCAAGUCGUCGGGAAAGAUCAACGCAAAAAAACACCAUGAAGAAAGCAGAAAAAAUAAAACCGUUUCGUCUACAAAAUUAAACAAAAUGUCACAAGCCGCACGAGGUUAUAAUUUUUUUUUUAAUAACUGGCUUAAGAUUACCUCAGAAUCCGGCUGGUCAACGUGCCUUAAAGCGCCAUCUAUUGAGCAAAUAGUGAACCAAGAAGGCAUAUGCAAUUUGUACUGAGGUCGUAAUGUACAGACUGAAUACACCCUGCCAGCACCUAAAGCAUGAGACCGGAGUCAUAGAUUAAAUAAUUAAUGGAUCACAACACGUUGUUUCGUUCUGCGGUUCAAUGCGGCCAAAGAAAUAAUAUAAACUUUAAAAUUUACUUUUUUCAUAAUCUGUGCUCUUUGCUGAUCAGUGAUCUGUGAUCUCUUUCUCUGUGUCUGUGGUGAUUGUGCAAAAGCAAAAACAAACAAAGCGAAGCACCUAAUAAAUUAUCAUUUGAAAUUGGUAUUGUAAUUAGUAAAAACCUGAAGGCUGAAAUUAAAUCUCAAAUAUUAAUACGUAGAAAUGUUUUACAAAGUGUUUGUUCUUAUAUUCUCGAUGCUAGCCGUCAGCAGAGUCGAAGCAGCACAUAGCUAUGACUUUGGAGACUUUUUAGCAACAGUUUUGGGCAUUGGAAUCGCUGUAAUAGGUAUUCUAGCAUGCUUGGGUAAUUACGCAAGGCAGAAAGCAAGAAAUGAAUUCAUAUAGUGUUUCAUACAUGCUGUAUUAACUGAUUGAACAUCAUGGCUACGCUGGUUUCUUUAAUAAACUUGUGUCAUACCAUAAAAUUUUGUUAUAAUAUUAUACUUUAAUAUAGCACAUAUUUUUUUGUUACUAUUACAGUAAAACAUCUGUAUUAUUAAAGUUAACAAUAAAUGUAAAAUUCAUUCAGUUUUGACUGAUUUUUAA